rnacentral:rRNA from 1 species
GACGAACGCUGGCGGCGUGCUUAACACAUGCAAGUCGUACGGUAAGGCCCUUUCGGGGGUACACGAGUGGCGAACGGGUGAGUAACACGUGAGUAACCUGCCCACAACUUUGGGAUAACGCUAGGAAACUGGUGCUAAUACUGGAUAUGUGCUCCUGCUGCAUGGCGGGGGUUGGAAAGCUCCGGCGGUUGUGGAUGGACUCGCGGCCUAUCAGCUUGUUGGUGGGGUAGUGGCCUACCAAGGCGGCGACGGGUAGCCGGCCUGAGAGGGUGACCGGCCACAUUGGGACUGAGAUACGGCCCAGACUCCUACGGGAGGCAGCAGUGGGGAAUAUUGCACAAUGGGCGCAAGCCUGAUGCAGCAACGCCGCGUGCGGGAUGACGGCCUUCGGGUUGUAAACCGCUUUCAGCAGGGACGAAGCUUUUUGUGACGGUACCUGCAGAAGAAGCACCGGCUAACUACGUG